GGUUCAACAUCCCACCCCUCACUCUUGAGUGAUUGGUGGGGAUCAAUCGCAGUCUCGUCCUCGUCAAGAGUACAAGUCUGCCUAAGUCAACAAGGUGCCUCCUAGCGUGGAAUUGACCCUCUUGGGUCACAUCCAUUCAAGCCGCACUCGAAUAAACAUCUUGUAUGUCUUUCGACCUCGACGUCUUGCGUUAAGAUGACUUGUAGCUCGUCUACAGGUCCAACACCUUUUAACUUGGAACACCCAACACUUCUCGANNNNRRRGNNNCAGA
rnacentral:misc_RNA from 1 species